AUGUCAAACCUUGUCUAUGCUAUGGGCCAAAAGUUUGAUAAAUACUGGAAAGAGUCAAAACUGAAUGUUGCAGUUGUCAUCGCAACGGUGUUAGAUCCAACCAAGAAAUCUGACUUCUUGGAAUUCUUCUUUGAAAAGUAUUGUGAAAAUGUGGAUGAUAUUGAGAAGUGUCUAGAAGGUGUAAAAGACAUGAUGAGGUCGUAUUAUGAGAAAUACGAGGAAGCUAGAAGAACCACCGAGCACUCGGUAUCUCGGCAAGUCAGCGCCAAUAUAGGAUCACCAGUUCUUGGCAAAAGGAGGUUGGAAGAAGAGUUUGCUCAAUACAAGUCAAGAAGGAGGUCCUACAUGCAACCAAAGUCUGAGCUGGACAUGUAUUUGGAGGAAAAUUUCGACAGCUCCAGGGGAAGUUUUGAUAUUUUGAUAUGGUGGAAAACACAUGCUGAAAAAUAUCCCGUGCUCUCAACCAUGGCUCGUUAUUUCCUUGCAAUACCUCUUAGCACCGUGUCAUCUGAAUCAGCAUUCAGUUGCAGUGGAAGGACUUUAGGAGAUUCCCGAUGCUCGAUGACGCCCGAAACGCUUGAGGCUUUAGUUUGCGGAAAAGAUUGGCUUAUCAAAAUUCCAAAUAAUGAAGGCCCAAGUGGGACAGCACAAUGGAGAAAAGGUCUUAUGUUAACAAAUUGGUAUCAAGAAGAAAGCCGGGGUAGAAUAAACCAUUCAGAAAAGGGAGAUGGAUGUCCAGCAACUAUGUAA
rnacentral:rRNA from 1 species